rnacentral:snRNA from 1 species
GGAUGUGAGUGAGCUGGCUGCCACAUCUGUCACCCCACUGAUCACCAGGGUUGAUUAGGUUAAUCUGACUAGCUAGGCCAGUGUCCCCUUUCUCUCCACUCCAAGUGUGUCCCUCUGAAGCUCAGCAAAAAAUAAAAAAGAAUGACCUUCCCCAAAUAGAGGAAGACUGGUCUGCAGUCAAGGGUAAAAAGUCACUGUCUUUCCCUGCUAGAGCCCCCUAAUGAGCUCUCAGAUGUCAAAUGGAAAAUGACAAAACCUGAUCAGGCCUCCUAGGUUCAGCUUAUUCAUUUACCACAGUCAUGGAAGGAAUGGUAACUGUGGGAUGGUCUAGGUCCAUUAUACUCAUUUCAU